AGGCGCAUUUCUUUUGGUGGGUGCCAUGGAGUGCGUUUACUUUUGUGUAUGGAUUUGCUAUUCGGAGGCCAGCCGUGAGGCAUUACUUUGGUCUUCCUCACCUAGCAACACGGCCUGCACCUGCACCCGUGCAAGUGCCAGCGCCUAACCUUUCCGAGGGGACGGAGUCGAUGCCAGCGCCAACCUCUGCUAACCUUUCCGAAGGGACGGAGCCGAUGCCAGCAGUUGAUUCGCCGCCUGCAGCAGCCAAGGGAUCUGUGCAUUCUAGUUCUGAGCCACGCGACAUGACUGAGAAGAAGAGGCGAACUCCGAGGGUGAUAACUAACAGAGUGCGCGACGAUUGCUCCUCGAGUGAUGGGCAGUGAUCCCGAGGAGGACUCUAGCAAAGUUGUGUGUGACUGACUGCGGUUAUAUGUUUGGAGUUCAAUCGGGCCUGAGAUGCAGUUCUUUUCCUUGUUCAUCCAUCUCAGACCGACCAGCCGGGUAUGACAUCUGUUUAAUUAUUGCGUGUUAGUUAGUAAGCCGGUGGUAAUUACUCCUAUAUUUUUUGUAUUAUUGGGUGUUGACCAAUCAUGUAAGUUUAUCACUAGGACAAUUCGACUGUGCACUCUAGUUUGGAUACGGAGCGUUGGCCACGAGAAUAUAGAAAAUCAGUUUUUAGCUGAUUUUUAGCAAAACCCGUUUUACAA